rnacentral:rRNA from 1 species
CGUUAUGUGCCAGAGGAUGGGGCUGCGGCCGAUCAGGCCGUUGGCGAGGUAACGGCUCACCAAACCUUUGACCGGUACGGGCCAUGAGAGUGGUAGCCCGGAGAUGGACACUGAGAUAGGGGUCCAGGCCCUACGGGGCGCAGCAGGCGCGAAAACUCCACACUGUACGUAAGUACGAUGGGGUUACCUCGAGUGUAGUCUGUAAAAGAUUGCUUUUCCAUAGAGUAAUAUCCUGUGGGAAUAAGAGGGGGGCAAGACUGGUGUCAGCCGCCGCGGUAACACCAGCCCCUCGAGUGGUAGGGACUUUUAUUUGGCCUAAAGCGUUCGUAGCCGUCUGUAACCGUUGCCCGUUAAAUCCAGCGUCUCAAGCGUUGGACUGCGGGCGAUACCUUACAGAUUGAGGGUGGGAUAGGUAAGCGGUAUUUCUGGGGUAGGGGCGAAAUCCUUUGAUCCCAGGAGGACCACCAGUGGCGAAGGCUGCUUACUAGAACACGCCUGACGGUCAGGAACGAAAGCUGGGGUAGCGAACCGGAUUAGAUACCCGGGUAGUCCCAGCUGUAAACGAUGCGCGCUAGGUGUUGGGUCGGCCAUGCGCCGCCCCAGUGCCGCAGGGAAGCCGUUAAGCGCGCCGCCUGGGGAGUACGGCCGCAAGGCUGAAACUUAAAGGAAUUGGCGGGGGAGCAC